CCUACGGGUGGCAGCAGUCGAGAAUCAUUCACAAUGGGGGAAACCCUGAUGGUGCGACGCCGCGUGGGGGAAUGAAGGUCUUCGGAUUGUAAACCCCUGUCAUGUGGGAGCAAAUUAAAAAGAUAGUACCACAAGAGGAAGAGACGGCUAACUCUGUGCCAGCAGCCGCGGUAAUACAGAGGUCUCAAGCGUUGUUCGGAAUCACUGGGCGUAAAGCGUGCGUAGGCUGUUUCGUAAGUCGUGUGUGAAAGGCGCGGGCUCAACCCGCGGACGGCACAUGAUACUGCGAGACUAGAGUAAUGGAGGGGGAACCGGAAUUCUCGGUGUAGCAGUGAAAUGCGUAGAUGUCGAGAGGAACACUCGUGGCGAAGGCGGGUGACUGGACAUUAACUGACGCUGAGGCACGAAGGCCAGGGGAGCGAAAGGGAUUAGAUACCCGAGUAGUC
rnacentral:rRNA from 1 species